AGCUGCCACGCGUCAACCGGAAGCAUUCCAGGUCAUGUCAUUGGGUCAUGGCCAGAAUGGUCAUGGCAGUCACAGUCAGUGGUCCCGGUGGUCAGGGCUUCAGUGAAUUAAUGAUCAACAGUCAUGGUCAAAAAUAGAUUCUUCAUGUUCUCACCGAAAGACGUUUGGAUCGCGAAUCAACGAGCACAUGAAAGCCGGUAAUAAUUUCAGCGGUAAUUUUGAUUUUGCACAUGCACUUGAAUAAUGGUGAUGGUAUCUGGAUAUCAUCUCCAAUGGUCAUCUCGCACCAUCAAAUCAACGGAAAGUUUAAGACAAAAUGAAAGAACUUUGAGUGAAUUAAAUUGCAUAUAUCAGUUUAAUAAUGAGACCAUGGACCUAGACCUCAUCUAAAAAUCAAAGUUUUCAAAGAAGUUGAAAAAUCUUCAAGAGUUGGAAAAAAUUUCAAGUCUGAUAAUAAAAUAUUGAUUGGUAACAAUUAGAUCAGAUCUGUGGGAAACCAGCUACUGAAGAGGAAAUAUGUGCUAACUAAAUGAUGUUGCUAUAUAGCUUCAGUGUUGAGUCAAAUAUGAAAUCCUUAUGUCAGCUUUAAAAUUUUUUUCAUGGUGAGCUAAUAUGUAAC